UACCUGCAGCUCAAGUGGUGGCCGUUAUUAUUGGGCCUAAAACGUCCGUAACCGGUUUAUUAAAUGCCUGGGUAAAUCGGGCCGCUUAACGGUUCGAAUUCCGGGUAGACUGAUGGACUUGGGACCGGGAGAAGCUAGAGGUACUCCUGGGGUAGAGGUGAAAUUCUGUAAUCCUAGGGGGACCACCAGUGGCGAAGGCGUCUAGCUAGAACGGGUCUGACGGUGAGGGACGAAGCCCUGGGGCGCAAACCGGAUUAGAUACCCGGGUAGUCCAGGGUGUAAACGCUGCUUGCUUGAUGUUAGUCGGGCUCCGAGCCCGAUUAGUGUCGGAGAGAAGUUGUUAAGCAAGCUGCCUGGGAAGUACGGCCGCAAGACUGAGACUUAAAGGAAUUGGCGGGGGAGCACAGCAACGGGUGGAGCGUGCGGUUU
rnacentral:rRNA from 1 species